AACGAACGCUGGCGGCAGGCCUAACACAUGCAAGUCGAGCGAGGACUUCGGUUCUAGCGGCGGACGGGUGAGUAACGCGUGGGAAUGUGCCCUUCUCUACGGAAUAGCCCUGGGAAACUGGGAGUAAUACCGUAUACGCCCUAUUGGGGAAAGAUUUAUCGGAGAAGGAUCAGCCCGCGUUGGAUUAGGUAGUUGGUGGGGUAAUGGCCUACCAAGCCGACGAUCCAUAGCUGGUUUGAGAGGAUGAUCAGCCACACUGGGACUGAGACACGGCCCAGACUCCUACGGGAGGCAGCAGUGGGGAAUCUUAGACAAUGGGGGCAACCCUGAUCUAGCCAUGCCGCGUGAGUGAUGAAGGCCUUAGGGUGGUAAAGCUCUUUCAGCUGGGAAGAUAAUGACGGUACCAGCAGAAGAAGCCCCGGCUAACUCCGU
rnacentral:rRNA from 1 species